AAGUAAAAAGCGUAACAAGGUUUCCGUAGGUGAACCUGCGGAAGGAUCAUUAAUGAAUAAUAAACUUGGUUGGGUUGUUGCUGGCUCUUUUGAGCAUGUAUGUGCACACCUAAUGCCAACUUUUGAUACCACCUGUGCACCAUUUGUAGACAAAUUUGGAUACCUCUCGAGCAUUACUCGAUUAUAGGAUUUGCUGCAAAUCAGCUUUUCUUGCAUUUCCAGUCUAUGUUUUUAAUAUAUAUCCCUUGUAGUAUGUCUGAGAAUGUUAUUAAACGGGCUUUACAACCCUUUUAAAUUUAAUACAACUUUCAACAACGGAUCUCUUGGCUCUCGCAUCGAUGAAGAACGCAGCGAAAUGCGAUAAGUAAUGUGAAUUGCAGAAUUCAGUGAAUCAUCGAAUCUUUGAACGCACCUUGCGCUCCUUGGUAUUCCGAGGAGCAUGCCUGUUUGAGUGUCAUAAAAUUCUCAACCUUUUUUGAUUAUGUUGAAUUAGGCUUGGAUGUUGGGAGCAUUGCGGGCUUUUCUGAAGUCGGCUCUCCUUAAAUGCAUUAGCAGGACCCUUGUUGCUUAGCUUUGGUGUGAUAAUUAUUUAUGCCWUUGAUAUAGUAGCUUUUUUUAUAAUGAAAAGGGGUUUGUUCAGCUUUUUCAAUUGUUAUCCUUAUUAAAAAGGGUGACAUUUUUUUAGCAAUUGACCUCAAUCA
rnacentral:misc_RNA from 1 species